GCCUCUGUUUCAGUAAAUAAACUUUUGUUGGAACACAGCCAAAGCCUUUUCUUUAUGUUAUAUCUAUAGUGGCUUUCACCAUUCAUUCAGAGUUUGAGUUUGUUGGGUUGAGAGAGUUAUUCUACCUGGUGUCCCCUCCUGCCAUUUUCCCAAAUUUAAGUCCCCACUCACACCUCACUUGUAUGUCCUCUGGGUAGGAAUUCUCAGUACGAUCUGUGACAAGUACUUUAAUAACGGUGUCUGUUAGAGAAAAAAAACUUCAUUGAACUUAACUCAUUUUCCUGGAAAUAAUUUUUAAAUGUAUCAGCCAAGGAAAGAUAAGCAUUGUUUAUAAGCACAAAAAACACUGGACUACACUCAAUUAUCCAACUACAAGGGGAUGAUAAAGUAAAAUAAGAUAUCUAUUUGAUGGAAUAGUCAGCAACUAAUCAAAGACAUCAUUGUUUAUGAUGUAAUGUUAACUGAAAAGGGCAGAAUGUAAAAACUUAUCUUUAAAUUCAGUCAUCAGCAAAUAUUCAAGAAUGAUGUAAGCACUCAACCAGGAACUGCAUAUACAGAGGAAUUCAAAUAAUUAUACCAAGCCAAACAAAAAGUAAAAAGAAAAUGCGUGAGGCAUCAUCCAUAUUGGGUAAGUAGAAGCUGGUACUGACCAAAGAUCCUGCUGCUUCUCAGGCUGCUGAAGUCUAUGCUGUCCCAUGGCUGUGGUCCUGGCCCUGGGCUCCUCUCUUCUACACUGAACCCGAUGAACAGCUUUUGUCAUUGAUUAAAUGCUGCAGCUCGCCUGGAGCCAUUUAUCCAUUUCACCGGCUGUUUAUGGCUUUAUUUACUACAAAGGAAGCAAGGUAAUCCCUGUAAACUCAAUAGAUCUAAAUUAACGUUCAGGAGCCAGCUUAGAAAGAAUUAUUGCUCCCUGACUCAGGGGGCCAGAGAAAAAGAAUGAACACAGGAACCUGUGACAGAGGCUCUGAGUGGUUCUCUGGCAUCCAGGAGGGCUGCUUCACAGAGGACCCUUGCUUGCCUGAGUCUCUAUUAGCCAGGUUUCUCUGCAUAAAGUCCAGACUUGGUGUGUUUCCUCUUGCUCUGAAUAAUGCCAGGCUGCACCGUGAUGUCAAAGACCCAGACCUAGAAGCUAAAACUGUGGCUUCUCAUGCCGGCCCUGCCAAGCUGGAUCACCCUGGGCACAUGAAGGGGAACAAGAUGAUCUCUCAGGCCACUUCCAGUCAUCCAUCCACCCAUCUUUGUAUCCAAUGUAUUUCUCUGCAAAGUUUUAUUCCACACUUACCUAUGCUAAGCACAAUAUUAAAGGCUGGAGAAACAAAAGAAAAUAUUCAUGUUCCUUCCUCACCUUCUAGAAAUUUAACAACUAGAUGA
rnacentral:lncRNA from 1 species